rnacentral:misc_RNA from 1 species
CCUAAACGAAACGUCAAGUGACGUGUCCACACAGAUUGUCUGAUAACUGUCACGAGCAAAGCAGCCCGUCGGCGGCUUUUUUUAUGCCGAUUUUUCGUGUCCCCUUCGUCUAGUGGCCUAGGACACUGCCCUUUCACGGCGGUAACAGGGGUUCGAACCCCCUAGGGGACGCCACUUUGCUUUUUAUUUCAGAGCGCGUUUAUCGAGCGCGCUGCGAAAUACCGCUCUUUAACAAUCCGGAACAAGCUGAAAAUUUGAAACACAUGCUGAAGUGCAAACUCAGUAUGCGAGUCUCUCAAACGAAGUAAGCAAACCUGAGAUAACGCGUAAGCGUUAUCACUGUAGCGCGACAGGCAUUGUCGUCUCCGUGGCGUCUUCACAGACGCCGCCGGGUCUCGCCAGUAUGGCGACACUCGAGCGAGACGGCGCGAACGGCUGAAAGCCCAGGCGCACGGCUCGCAGGCACCGCAGUGGACUUGAUGUCCAUGAGGAUGCCGAGUACCGCGCAACGCCGGAUUUCGGUCGUGCAGCCCGUCGGACAAGG